rnacentral:rRNA from 1 species
GUGUCAGCAGCCGCGGUAAUACAGAGGGUGCAAGCGUUGUUCGGAAUUAUUGGGCGUAAAGCGCGUGUAGGCGGCUUGGCAAGUCAGAUGUGAAAGCCCUCGGCUUAACCGAGGAAGUGCGUCUGAAACUGCUGAGCUUGAGUGUCGGAGAGGAUGGCGGAAUUCCGCAAGUAGAGGUGAAAUUCGUAGAUAUGCGGAGGAACACCGGUGGCGAAGGCGGCCAUCUGGACGACUACUGACGCUGAGACGCGAAAGCGUGGGGAGCAAACAGGAUUAGAUACCCCCGUAGUCC